rnacentral:rRNA from 1 species
GACGGAAGGUGCAAGCGUUGCUCGGAAUCACUGGGCGUAAAGGGUGCGUAGGCGGCCGUGCAAGUUUGGUGUGAAAUCUCCCGGCUCAACUGGGAGGGUGCGCCGAAAACUGGAAGGCUAGAGUGCGGGAUGGGAGAGUGGAAUUCCUGGUGUAGCGGUGAAAUGCGUAGAUAUCAGGAGGAACACCUGUGGUGUAGACGGCUCUCUGGACCGCAACUGACGCUGAGACACGAAAGCGUGGGUAGCAAACAGG